UACAGAGGUGGCAAGCGUUGUUCGGAAUUACUGGGCGUAAAGGGCGCGUAGGCGGCCAUCUAAGUCAGACGUGAAAUCCCCCGGCUUAACCUGGGAACUGCGUCUGAUACUGGACGGCUGGAGUUUGGGAGAGGGAUGUAGAAUUCCAGGUGUAGCGGUGAAAUGCGUAGAUAUCGGGAGGAACACCAGUGGCGAAGGCGACUACCUGGCCUGUUCUUGACGCUGAGGCGCGAAAGCUAGGGGAGCAAACGGG
rnacentral:rRNA from 1 species